GACGAACGCUGGCGGCGUGCCUAAUACAUGCAAGUCGAGCGCAGGAAACUGACGGAACUCUUCGGAGGGAAGGCAGCGGAAUGAGCGGCGGACGGGUGAGUAACACGUAAGGAACCUGCCUCAAGGAUUGGGAUAACUCCGAGAAAUCGGAGCUCAUACCGGAUAGUUCAACGGACCGCAUGGUACGCUGAUGAAAGGCGCUUCGGCGUCACCUUGAGAUGGCCUUGCGGUGCAUUAGCUAGUUGGUGGGGUAACGGCCCACCAAGGCGACGAUGCAUAGCCGACCUGAGAGGGUGAUCGGCCACACUGGGACUGAGACACGGCCCAGACUCCUACGGGAGGCAGCAGUAGGGAAUCUUCCACAAUAGACGAAAGUCUGAUGGAGCAACGCCGCGUGAGUGAUGAAGGUUUUCGGAUCGUAAAACUCUGUUGUAAGGGAAGAACACGUACGAGAGGAAAUGCUCGUACCUUGACGGUACCUUACGAGAAAGCCACGGCUAACUACGUGCCAGCAGCCGCCGUAA
rnacentral:rRNA from 1 species